UGUAGUUUGUUGUCGGAAAGUUAAGUCCUCAGGCUUCAUUCAGUUCUAGAUUUCAGCAAAAAUAAAUAGUUCCCGGCUUUCAACUGGUGGAAGAGUUAUUUUCUAAGCUCAAAAAUAUUGUUUAUGAACUACAAGCUGGGCAAUUACUUCUUCUGCUUCACGAGACCUCUUGAACUCGAAACAGCCCUUUAAGGCCGAUCCGGUGCUUGCCUCUGGGCCGGCCAGAGAACUAACAGCACAUCUUCCUCGAAAGCCACCGGGCAAAUGCCCUGGCCUUCCUCCUCCCGAGGGUCACUGCCACCCCAAAACAGUUUUUCCCACGGCAACAGUAAAAGGGUGUGGGCGAUCGCAAGAUGGAGGAUAUGUAUCUUUGAAAGUCAAACCUCAACAAUAAAAACAAACAAAAACGUGGAAGAGAUACGGCAUUGUCUUGUCUCCCCCUUCUUGCCCAUUCUAGACAGCUUUAUCAGCCUGUUUAUUGACAGCACCCAAAUAAAUCAGAUUUUUUUUUAAGCCUUAUGUUUAUGAAGUGCUUUUCUCAGUUCCUCACCUCUCUAUCCACCCCCUUCCAAUUCCUAAUUCAUUACACAGAGUCUGAAGAGUACUUGGCUUGUAGUGAGUAGUCAAUAAAUGUUGAUGACGAUAACUCCUGUCAUUAUCCAGA